rnacentral:siRNA from 1 species
AAACUAUGAAUUUGGGCCUGAUU